CCUGACCGAUUUUCUCGUCGUCAUUUGGCACUGGGAUACUCGCAGGAUAGCGUACGGUCGUCAGAGUGCACAACAUAUCCGAUCAGUAAACGGCAAAAUGUCGAGAAUCGCGGUCUUCUUGCUCGUCGCGCUCAUCGCAGUGGUCGCAGUCGCGGUCGCGGUUCCGACCGAGGCCCAGCCAGAGUUACAUACAGAGUUACCGGGAACAACCAAAGCAGCGCCAUCAAGAGUAGCCAGAGCAGCCGCGCCUGAAGCCGAGGCUAUAGCCUCGGCUGAAGCCUUGGCCCAUAGAUACCGCGGACACCACCGCGGACACCAUCACCACCACGGGCAUCACCAUGGUUAGGCAGCGGGAAGUUCUUCACUACCUCCGGCAGUCGACAUGGACAACGAUUUUAAAAGGGAAACGACUACUGUGAUUGAAAACGGACUCGCGCGAUGAUAAACUGAUUUUACUUAUACACUUAUCUUGCAAGUACUUGUUUUUAUGAUAAGAUUAAUAUAAUAAAUUUAAAAACACACAAAGAAGUUUACCUGUUAGAUUUUAUGUCUCGGAAAUAUUACAGUGAGAAAAAAGUAUUAAAAAAUAUUUAUAAUUUAUUUGUGGGACUUAAGGUUUAUUUCAUAGAAAUAAGGUAUGAUGUAACGAGUUAUCAUCACAAUGUUUAUUUGAUCCCACAAAUAACGGUUGUCAAAUUCAAUAUAUUUUCGUGUAAUUACAAACUUUUCAUGCCAAUUCGUCACUGGGCUAUGUAGCAUCGCUGCGUUUCCAUAUCAGUUCCUUCGGCUUUCCGUAAAUUGAUACAUAAUUUGGGUAAUCGAUUGCAGCGUUUAUUAUUCAAUCUGUUACAUUUGAUUGUCCGAUAAGUAUUAAACGCAAAAACACAAUUAUUCGACAAUUUCUGUCGUCUCGUGACAAUUUGCGAAUAUUUCCGCGACGGUCUAUCAGUGUUCCUCUACUCUUAUUCCCUCACUUAACUGUCUAUUAGCGCGUCACGGUUAAGCACAUUUCACACAAUUUGUAUAUAUUAUAUAGAAAAUGUGUGCGUAGGAUAAAAUUUAGUUAAAAUUAGUGUAGUACAUAUCGUUAAAGAUCACACAUAUAAUAAUUUUAGUCAUAAUUCCGGUGUGGUUCAAUAUUACAAAAUUGUGUGAUAAUAAUUACUAUUGUUAUUACUAUUGUUAUUAUUAUUGUUAUUAAAGUUUUAUUUAUCCAGCAAUCCGAGACAAAACGUUUUAGGCACAAAAUCUAAUUUAAUAUAAUUUAAAGUCUCAAAAAAGAGGGCGGUACUUUGGUGGACGGUGAAUAUCAAAUAUUACCAUGUGAUAUUAUAUAAUUAAUUGGCAUAAAAAACCUAAUGAUAAUUAACUCAACUAUUAUAAUACCAUCAAAGAAUACAUUAUAUUCUAUAUAAUAAUUUAUAUUAUCACGUUCAUGAGCCUAGGCUCGUAUGGCGACGUGUGGGAAUCAAUCGGUAUGAUUUACCCCGCGAAACUGAAGACUGCUCGAUGAUCAGCUCGUACUAAUAUCUUGCAAAAUGAUAUUCAUCGACAAACGAACAGGAAAUCGCACCAAGGACUCGCAAGCGUAACAUCGAUCAAUAUCGACAAAGAGAGAUCUGUUUGUCCCAUCUAUCAGUGCUAAUGAUAUGCAGCGAUUCAUCGUAAAAGUGCUCGUUUCGUAACUGCAUAAACUCACUCGUAAAACGAGUUAUGCGGACGGCUUAUCAUAUAUAAAAACUGCUUAGCUGAUUUUUUCGUCGUCACUUAGCAUUGAGGUGCCCACAGGAUAGCGUACGGUCGUUAUCGCGCACAACGUAUCCGAUCAGCAACAGCAGAAUGUCAAGGAUCGCGGUCUUCUUACUCGUCGCGCUCUUCGCAAUAAUCGCAGUCGCAUUUUCAACACGUCCGCCAUCUUCCAGGAGAUUCCCGUCCGGGAUUCGAGCCGCGCCUGAAGCCG